rnacentral:rRNA from 1 species
UGGGGAAUUUUGGACAAUGGGGGCAACCCUGAUCCAGCAAUGCCGCGUGUGUGAAGAAGGCCUUCGGGUUGUAAAGCACUUUUGUCCGGAAAGAAAACGUCGUGGUUAAUACCCGUGGCGGCUGACGGUACCGGAAGAAUAAGCACCGGCUAACUACGUGCCAGCAGCCGCGGUAAUACGUAGGGUGCAAGCGUUAAUCGGAAUUACUGGGCGUAAAGCGUGCGCAGGCGGUCCGCUAAGACAGAUGUGAAAUCCCCGGGCUUAACCUGGGAACUGCAUUUGUGACUGGCGGGCUAGAGUAUGGCAGAGGGGGGUAGAAUUCCACGUGUAGCAGUGAAAUGCGUAGAGAUGUGGAGGAAUACCGAUGGCGAAGGCAGCCCCCUGGGCCAAUACUGACGCUCAUGCACGAAAGCGUGGGGAGCAAACAGGAUUAGAUACCCUGGUAGUCCACGCCCUAAACGAUGUCAACUAGUUGUCGGGUCUUCAUUGACUUGGUAACGUAGCUAACGCGUGAAGUUGACCGCCUGGGGAGUACGGUCGCAAGAUUAAAACUUAAAUGAAUUGACGGGGUCAUAGCUGUUUCCUG